CUGACCUGCCCAGUGAUUAAUUUAACGGCCGCGGUAUACUGACCGUGCAAAGGUAGCAUAAUCAUUAGUCUUUUAAUAGAGGGCUGGAAUGAAAGGUUUAACGAGGAACUGACUGUCUCAUUUUAUUUGUGUUAAAAUUUAAUUUUUUAGUUAAAAAGCUAAAAUUUCAUUGGAAGACGAGAAGACCCUAUAGAUCUUUAUAAAAAUAUAUUUAAUUAUCAUUAUAUUAAUAUAAUUAUUUAUAUUUUUAUUUUGUUGGGGUGACAAAAAUAUAUAUAUAACUUUUCUAUUUAUUUAACAUUGAUUUAUGAAUAUAUGAUCCAUUAUUAUUGAUUAUUAGAUUAAGUUACCUUAGGGAUAACAGCGUAAUCCUCCUCCAGAGUUCAUAUUUACAGGAUGGGCUUGCGACCUCGAUGUUGGAUUAAGAUAAUAAUCAGGUGUAGCCGCUUGAUUUAUAGGUCUGUUCGACCUUUAA
rnacentral:rRNA from 1 species